rnacentral:rRNA from 1 species
GACGAACGCUGGCGGCGCGCCUAACACAUGCAAGUCGAACGGAGUCACGAGGAGCUUGCUUUUCUUGACUUAGUGGCGAACGGGUGAGUAACGCGUGAGUAACCUGCCCUGGAGUGGGGGACAACAGUUGGAAACGACUGCUAAUACCGCAUAAGCCCACGGAUCCGCAUGGAUCUGCGGGAAAAGGAUUUAUUCGCUUCAGGAUGGACUCGCGUCCAAUUAGCUAGUUGGUGAGGUAACGGCCCACCAAGGCGACGAUUGGUAGCCGGACUGAGAGGUUGAACGGCCACAGUGGGACUGAGACACGGCCCAGACUCCUACGGGAGGCAGCAGUGGGGGAUAUUGCACAAUGGGGGAAACCCUGAUGCAGCGACGCCGCGUGGAGGAAGAAGGUUUUCGGAUUGUAAACUCCUGUCGUUAGGGACGAUAAUGACGGUACCUAACAAGAAAGCACCGGCUAACUACGUG